AAGCUCUAUGGAAACAUGGAAGCACUGUUGGUAUACCGGUUUGGCGGUGCCAACGCCCUACGGGUCACCCCACGCCUGUCUCUGGCAGCUGGCCCGUUGCAUGUAGUAUAUAUAUGAUUUAAUUUCUCCCAAAGCUGUGGACAGAAUUGUUGUGGUUAUUUGUGCAAAGUUCUGCCUUGGGUAUAGCAGGUUGCGCGAUGGGGGAGAGUACAGAAAUAACUUGUCCCUCCACGACAAUUCGGGAUGCAGUUGUUGCUGCCCUGAAGAAGUGGGGGCUGAGAGUGGUUGUUGCUGGACUGAUAGUGACUGUUAUUGUACUGGCACCGGUCGCGUUUGAAGGGAUGCUCACCGGGAUAGCCAGUCUUAUAUCGUGGUUUGCUGGAAGUGCAUAUACGCUUCUGGGUUAUUUGUUCGGAAACUGCCCGACCAGCGGUUUACCUAUUGAGCUUUCAGCCAGUGUGGUGGCCACCUUAUCCAUCUGCAUACGUCCGCAUUUCACCACAUCAAAAUUAAAAUAAUGGGAAGCAAACGCCCCAAAACACGGAGAGAUUAUUUUCAUCUGAGUGGAAGAUUUUCUUUUACAAAAGGUUUAAAUGAGACAAGCAUCUUCAUUCUGGGAAAUUCAUGAGCUGCAAAUUUUCAUUCUACAACAUGAAUUUAUAUGGUGGAGGACUUUGACCAUCACAUAUUUUCUUCUUUGCAUUUUCCCUAUCAGUCUGGCAAGAAUCUGGUUGUCAGGGUAGUCUGUGAGGUAUUGCUUAAUAUAUUAUUUGUGAUUUUAGCUUACUGGUAUGUUUUCAGUAGCAUUAUAGAAGAUAUGUUCUUUAUGGUACAUUUGUUUAAGUGUUUCAAAUAUUACAUAACUUUUACACACAUUAUAAACAAAUUAUAUAUUGUUAUCUUCCAACAUGAGAUUUUUUUAUCUGUACUCAAGUCAAACUAAACUCGUAACAUGAAAUCAAAGCAUGAAGACUCAAGAAAGGUUACAGCCUUCAUACAGCUUUAAAUAUGUUGGAAUUAAUUCAACAUGAAUGAUAGUUAUAAUGUGGGUGUCUAUGAUCUGUAAUAAAACAUACCUUGAUAUUA